UUCUAUGUUUGAUAAAAACGGAGGAAAGGAGAGAAAAGUUGAAAUUUUAAGCCCUAAACAAUUAUACUGAACAAACUGGCUUUUUAAGAACUGAAGAUUAUAAAUUUCUGUUUCCUGGGGUAAGUUAUAUGGUUUGUACUUUGAGCACCUCAGCUUGCAUAUUUCAAGAUACCCUCGCUGUACGAGGGUUGGUAGCGGUUCUGGUCCAAGAAUAGAA
rnacentral:misc_RNA from 1 species